CGGGGCGUAGCGCAGCUUGGUAGCGCAUCUGCUUUGGGAGCAGAGGGUCGGGGGUUCAAAUCCCUCCGCCCCGACCA
rnacentral:tRNA from 11 species